UACUAGAUCGGCUAAAUUCAAUAUCUUUCCCAGAAACAGUGGCUCAGUGUUUCCUAACAAUAAGCUCAAAUGUUUGAGCGAUAUAAUUUCCUCGCUUCUGACACUCAUCAAAAUCAGUAUACUGCAUCCAAUUUGGUCUCCUUCAUAUCCCAGUGGCAAGCUUAGCUUCAACUUUAUCCACUUUAAACAAUACUUGGGUUUGCCACACCGUGUCCUAAAGCUGCAAGGUCUCAUUCAUGAUAUGAAUAACAUGCACAGUUGGACACCUACAUUAAGCAUGUAUGAUGAGAUCACUUCCAGUAAAACCUUGAAAUGCAGUAAUGUGAAAAACAUCUGGUUGUUGUGCGUUUGAUUUAAAGUUGGAAGUCGUGGACAAAGGGACUAUACAUUUAUUAACGUGUUCUGUGCUUUGCAGAGGUUUCUGUGCAAUUUACUCAUUAGACUUCAAAAGCAGGGAAUUAUACGACCUCUAGAUUGAAAUUAAAUUAUUAGACAUCAAAAGGAGGAAAAUACAUAAUCUCUUGGUGGAAAUUAGUAAUUGCUUGUUUAAUAAUAAUAGUCUGAAUUUAACACAGCAAUUUUGGCCUACAAAACCACCCAUCCGUGUGUGUACGUGGGUCUGUAUGUGUGCCAAAACCAGAGGCAGGGCUGGAGGGUUGGGAGUUGGCCACUCAACCACCACUGCUUCCCUUGCAGGAGAUGCUGCUGGAUGUACCAAUGCAGACAGCCAGGGGCUCCCAUAGUGCAGUCCUAUGGCCAGCGACGAGUAUCUCAGUCCAUGUGAGAUGGUUGUGUGGCAUCUGUGCCCGAAGCAAGAAGAAAGUUCCAGCUCUGCCGUGGCCACAAGCAUUGGGGCAGUUGGGGUUGUUGCCAUGUCUCCCACGUUUUGUUUGUGGUCCCACCUCGCCUUGCUGAGAUGGAUGUUUCUCACAAAGCCACGAGUGCUGCCAAGUGGGCUCCUCUUUGUCACCUCUACAACCCUCUACCUUCUCUUUGUGCAAAAAUGUGCUCUUGGCAGCCUUGGGUUCACCUGCUUUGGAGGUAGGUCUGUGCCAGCUCUCCUCUUCUCCUCUUCUAGGAAAGCUUUCCUAGUGCUUGUGUUGGAGAGGAACUCGUCAGCAAGAGGUUUCAGGCUGCAUUGCACUGGGAGUCCCCCAGGUAUGUGGCUUGCUGCACGAAACUGCAUCUGUUUCUGUGUUUUAUCUAAUAGGGCUGAAUAG
ensembl:lncRNA